GUCUUCGUGGUGUAAUGGUCAGCACACUUGGCGCGUAUUCGAGAGGUCCGAGGUUCGAGUCUCGGCGAGGACA
rnacentral:tRNA from 1 species